AAACCAACAGGGAUUGCCUUAGUAGCGGCGAGUGAAGCGGCAAAAGCUCAAAUUUGAAAUCUGGCACUUUCAGUGUCCGAGUUGUAAUUUGAAGAAGGUAUCUUUGGGUCUGGCUCUUGUCUAUGUUUCUUGGAACAGAACGUCACAGAGGGUGAGAAUCCCGUGCGAUGAGAUGUCCCAGACCUAUGUAAAGUUCCUUCGAAGAGUCGAGUUGUUUGGGAAUGCAGCUCUAAGUGGGUGGUAAAUUCCAUCUAAAGCUAAAUAUUGGCGAGAGACCGAUAGCGAACAAGUACAGUGAUGGAAAGAUGAAAAGAACUUUGAAAAGAGAGUGAAAAAGUACGUGAAAUUGUUGAAAGGGAAGGGCUUGAGAUCAGACUUGGUAUUUUGUAUGUUACUCUCUCGGGGGUGGCCUCUACAGUUUACCGGGCCAGCAUCAGUUUGAGCGGUAGGAUAAGUGCAAAGAAAUGUGGCACUGCUUCGGUAGUGUGUUAUAGUCUUUGUCGAUACUGCCAGCUUAGACUGAGGACUGCGGCUUCGGCCUAGGAUGUUGGCAUAAUGAUCUUAAGUCGCC
rnacentral:rRNA from 1 species